UUAUAAUUUUUUCAUAUUAUUAUCUCAUUUAAAAUUAAAUUUUGGAAAUUUCUUCGCAUCCCUACCACUUUCGCGUGCUCGCGUCUGUGUACAUUCCCAUCAGUUAGUUCUAUAGCGACAGUCAAAGUGCAUACUGUGUUGUUCAAUUUAAGGAAAUUAUUCACGUGGAAACUUCGCUGUCAGUCAAAAAUACCGGUGAUCUGUGUUUAGAUUGGGUAUGGAUUGCAACCCGGGGCCCUCCAAAAAAGUUAAAUAUGGGGAUACGAAUUAUGAGCAGAUUUUGAUGAAAUAGAGUCUGAUGACAGCGAUACUGACUCAGAUAACGACUUCAUACCAUCCGAUCAUGAAAGUCAGUCAGAAAUUGAAGCUGAAGAAAUGAACCAAGAAAACCAUGAAGACGUCCGCGAGAAAGUUACUUCCACCGCGUUUUAUGUGAAAAAUAGGUUUAAAUGGUCUCGAUUCCUGCAUUCUUAAAAAUACGUGUACCUUGCAACACAAUAUUUAAUGAACGGAUUUUAAAUGCAGUUCUUCAAUAUACUAAUCCACGAUUGAUGAAAAUAAAACAAAAAUACAAAAAAACAGUGCCGACAUUCGUGAGUUGAAUCUUGUUGAACUAAAAGCUUUCUUGGGCUUCUUGAUUUUUACAUCAAUUUUCAAACCCAAUCAUGAGGAUAUCAGAUCGAUUUUCGCUACAGAUGGCUCUGGGAGGGAUAUAUUUCAUUGCGUAAUGAAUUCGAAUCGGUUUGCAAUUAUUCUUUCUUGUCUGAGGUUUGACAAUGCUGAAAGUAGGGAGGAACGAAAAAGGCAAGACCCUCUAGCUGCUAUUUCAGAAAUAUUUGAUACUUUCAUAUCAAACUGUCAGGAGUUUUACACCAUCGGAAGUUGUGCAUGUGUAGAUGAAAUGCCCGUUUCAUUUACGUGUAUUCUGGAAAGGAUUCUGAUGGUAAUUUCUUGAGCAACGAUGAAAGGGUAUUUUCUAAAUCGACUCAGGCUGUGUUAAAACUGUCCAAACCAAUUUAUACUAACAGAAACGUCACUGCCGACAACUGGUUUUCUUCGUUGGAGGUGGAGGUAAAGACUAAAACGUUUACUUAUAUAGGAACGCUAAAAUAUAAAGGUGAAAAUCCUUGCUUCAUUUUUACCAAAUAAGCAGAGAGGUGUUGGUUCCAGUCUCUAAGGGUUCUCCAGUGAAACAACUCUUCUAUUCUACGUUCCGAAGAAAAACAAGGCAGUAUUACUUAUCUAUUCCAUGCACCAUAAUAAAAAUACUGAUGAAAAAAGUGGUGAACCAGAGAUAAUAGAUUAUUAUAAUACAACGAAAGGAGGCGUCGACAGUUUAGAUAAAAAAUGCAGCGUAUACUCUACGGGUCAUAGAACUCGCCGAUGGCCCAUGGCUAUUUUUUUUUUAAACUUCUAGAUAUAUCAUGCGUAAAUUCACAGAAUUUGCAAGGAAUGUUCUCCUUAAAAGUAUCAAAACUUUACCCCUUGCAGAUUUUUUUAUAUAAUGUUAGAAUGUGUGCCUAGUGUUUUUGAUUAUUACUAAAGUUACUUAAUAAAAUACAGAAUAAAAAAAAA